CCUACGGGUGGCAGCAGUGAGGAAUAUUGGUCAAUGGGCGGGAGCCUGAACCAGCCAAGCCGCGUGAGGGAAGACGGUCCUGCGUAUUGUAAACCUCUUUUAUCAGGGAACAAAGGCGGGGACGAGUCCCUGGAUGCGUGUACCUGAAGAAAAAGCAUCGGCUAACUCCGUUCCAGCAGCCGCGGUAAUACGGAGGAUGCGAGCGUUAUCCGGAUUUAUUGGGUUUAAAGGGGGGGAAGGCGGACUGUUAAGUCAGCGGUCAAAGUUCGGGGCUAACACCCGGCGAGCCGUUGAAACUGGCAGGCUGGAGUUGGAGAGAGGUACGCGGAAUGCGCGGUGUAGCGGUGAAAUGCUUAGAUAUCGCGCAGAACCCCGAUUGCGAAGGCAGCGUACCGGCUCCACACUGACGCUGAGGCACGAAAGCGUGGGUAUCGAACAGGAUUAGAUACCCCAGUAGUC
rnacentral:rRNA from 1 species